UACGUAGGUGGCGAGCGUUGUCCGGAAUUACUGGGUGUAAAGGGCGUGUAGGCGGGACUGUAAGUCAGAUGUGAAAUUCCAAGGCUUAACCUUGGCGCUGCAUCUGAAACUAUGGUUCUUGAGUGCUGGAGAGGAAAGCGGAAUUCCUAGUGUAGCGGUGAAAUGCGUAGAUAUUAGGAGGAACACCAGUGGCGAAGGCGGCUUUCUGGACAGUAACUGACGCUGAGGCGCGAAAGCGUGGGGAGCAAACAGG
rnacentral:rRNA from 1 species